rnacentral:rRNA from 1 species
GAUGAACACUGGCGGCGUGCUUAACACAUGCAAGUCGAACGGAAACGCCCUGCUUUUGUGGGGUUCUCGAGUGGCGAACGGGUGCGUAAGACGUGAGUAACCUGCCCUUCUCUUUGGGAUAACUUCAGGAAACUGGGGCUAAUACCGGAUAGGAGCUCCUGCUCCAUGGAGGGCGUUGGAAAGUUGCGGCGGUUGGGGAUGGACUCGCGGCUUAUGCGUUUGUUAGUGGGGUAGUGGCUUACCAAGGCUUUGACGGGUACGCGACCUGAGAGGGUGACCGGGCACAAGGCGACUGAGAUACGGGACAGAGUGGUACGGGAGACAGGGGUAGGGAAUAGUGCCCAAUGGGAGGAAGUCGGGUGCAGAAACGCCGCGUUCGGGAUGACGGCCUGCGGGUAAAAAAAAGCUUACGCCUAUGACGAAGCGUUAGUGACGGUAACGGAUGAAUAAGCACCGGCUAACUACGUG